AAUGACAUUUACAGCUUGGCGGUCUUGCAUAAGGCUGUGGGUGCGCAGUUCCUUAGAUUAUCUACUAUGAACGGCGAAAGACAGACUGACACGUUACAACGUAAAGCCUACACAAAGAUGAGCUCUCGACGGUGAAGUGCAAGCUAAUUUCCUUCAUAAGGCAGACAAACGAUAAGAUGGGAAAACAACAGCUCACCUGUUAAACAAGGUUCUUUACUCACCAUCUUGGCUGACAGUAUCAGGGUGUCGUGAAGCUUUGAGCUGAAACACUGAAGGCUUUCGGCCGGCAUCGUCAUGAAUACUGUCCUCCUCUACAAUGUGCAGUUUGUCUUCAUCAUCUGAAU